rnacentral:rRNA from 1 species
UUAUUAAAGUUGUUGCGGUUAAAAAGCUCGUAGUCGAAUUUGUGUCCCGCGCCGCCGGUUCAUCGUAAGCGGUGUUAACUGGCGUGCCGCGGGACGUCCUGCCGGUGGGCCUAAGUCCGUAAGGGCGUCGGCCCGACCCAAUCCCGCCGCGGUGCUCUUCACUGAGUGUCGAGGUGGGCCGGCACGUUUACUUUGAACAAAUUAGAGUGCUUAAAGCAGGCUAAAACUUCGCCUGAAUACUGUGUGCAUGGAAUAAUGGAAUAGGACCUCGGUUCUAUUUUGUUGGUUUUCGGAACCCCGAGGUAAUGAUUAAUAGGAACGGAUGGGGGCAUUCGUAUUGCGACGUUAGAGGUGAAAUUCUUGGAUCGUCGCAAGACGGACAGAAGCGAAAGCAUUUGCCAAAGAAA